GAGAUCGGGAUAACACCUGGAAACAGAUGCUAAUACCGGAUAACAACAGAUGAUGCCUAUCAACUGUUUAAAAGAUGGUCCUGCUAUCACUCUUGGAUGGACCUGCGGUGCAUUAGCUAGUUGGUAGGGUAACGGCCUACCAAGGCGAUGAUGCAUAGCCGAGUUGAGAGACUGAUCGGCCACAUUGGGACUGAGACACGGCCCAAACUCCUACGGGAGGCAGCAGCA
rnacentral:rRNA from 1 species